rnacentral:rRNA from 1 species
AGGAUGCGAGCGUUAUCCGGAUUUAUUGGGUUUAAAGGGUGCGUAGGCGGGAUAGCAAGUCAGUCGUGAAAUGCCGAGGCUUAACCUCGGAGCUGCGAUUGAAACUGUUAUUCUUGAGUAUCGGAGAGGAAAGCGGAAUUCCUAGUGUAGCGGUGAAAUGCGUAGAUAUUAGGAGGAACACCAGUGGCGAAGGCGGCUUUCUGGACGACAACUGACGCUGAGGCGCGAAAGUGUGGGGAGCAA